GUUAGGAAUAUUGGACAAUGGGCGAAAGCCUGAUCCAGCAAUGCCGCGUGCAGGAAGAAGGCCUUCGGGUUGUAAACUGCUUUUGUACGGAACGAAACGGUCCUGGUUAAUACCCGGGGCUAAUGACGGUACCGUAAGAAUAAGCACCGGCUAACUACGUGCCAGCAGCCGCGGUAAUACGUAGGGUGCAAGCGUUAAUCGGAAUUACUGGGCGUAAAGCGUGCGCAGGCGGUGCUGUAAGACAGGCGUGAAAUCCCCGGGCUUAACCUGGGAAUUGCGCUUGUGACUGCAGUGCUGGAGUGCGGCAGAGGGGGAUGGAAUUCCGCGUGUAGCAGUGAAAUGCGUAGAUAUGCGGAGGAACACCGAUGGCGAAGGCAAUCCCCUGGGCCUGCGCUGACGCUCAUGCACGAAAGCGUGGGGAGCAAACAGGAUUAGAUACCCUGGUAGUCC
rnacentral:rRNA from 1 species